GACGAGGGAUCCUAGCGUUGUUCGGAAUCAUUGGGCGUAAAGCGGAUGUAGGUGGCUUUGUAAGUCAGGUGUGAAAGCCCUGGGCUCAACCCAGGAAGUGCAUUUGAUACUGCGAAGCUUGAGUGCCGGAGAGGUUACUAGAAUACCUGGUGUAGUGGUGAAAUGCGUAGAGAUCGGGCAGAACACCCGUGGCGAAGGCGGCCGGCUGGGCCGAUCCUGACGCUGAGGCGCGAAGGCGUGGGGAGCGAACGGG
rnacentral:rRNA from 1 species